AUUUAUUUUUCCAUCCGCUCUUUCUUUUUUAUCAUUUUCUCGGGUCUUUUCCAUUCCUGGGUUAAAGAAGUUCGCAUGGCGCCCACUGAAAACACCACUACUUCCUGAUUCUUUCCUGUGACAAUUUACCACUUUUGUUAAAAUUAAGCAAGAAGAAGCUCAAUGCCUCUUCAUUUGAAAAGCGUUGGUCUUCUUUCUUUGUUUUCUGACUGUUAAUGGCAGUUAUUUAUAUAGAUAGAGAGAAAGGGCGAGAGAGAGCGUUCCUUAGGUUAGGGUUUUGAGACGAUGCUUCGUCGCCGUGCCAUGAGCUGGACCAGUGUUGCCAAGUCUGCUCAGGCGCUCGCCGCCCAUGGCUCACUCCUCUCUUUUACCAUUCUCCUCGUCCUCAAGCUCGACCAUGUCUUCUUCUAUUCAUGGUGGAUUAUUUUCCUUCCUCUUUGGUCAUUCCACGUGAUGGUUGCCCGAGGAAGAUUCUCUUUGCCCGCUCCGUCUCUACCCCAUGAUCGUCAUUGGGCACCUUGCCAUGCGGUAGUGGCCACCCCACUUCUUGUUGCAUUUGAGCUGCUGCUGUGCAUGUAUCUUGAGAGCCUCAAUGUUCAUAGCUAUGCAGUCAUAAACUUGAAGAUUGUCUUUCUUCCUUUGCUGUUGUUUGAAGUCAUCAUCCUAGUUGACAACUUCAGGAUGUGUCGUGCAUUGAUGCCUGGUGAUGAUGAUAGCCUGAAUGAUGAAGCUAUUUGGGAGACACUUCCACACUUUUGGGUUGCCAUCUCUAUGGUGUUCUUUGUUGCAGCGACUACAUUUACGCUUCUUAAGCUGUGUGGUGAUGUUGCUGCGUUAGGCUGGUGGGAUCUAUUUAUAAAUUUUGGGAUUGCUGAGUGCUUUGCUUUUCUUGUCUGCACAAAGUGGUCGAAUCCUGCAAUUCAUAGGCAAAGUAACAAUAGAGGAGAAAGUUCUUCCACAGCUAUUAGAUAUUUGGAUUGGAACAGUGGUCUGGUAGUUUCACCUGAUGAGGAUCAAUAUCAGGAGGGCAUGUGUGGUUUGCAGGAUAUUGGUGGUCACAUUAUGAAGAUUCCUGUGAUUGCUUUCCAGGUUUUGCUUUGCAUGCGUUUAGAGGGAACACCUCCACCCGCAAAGCAUAUCCCAAUCCCUGCACUUUUCAUGCCCCUUUUCAUUUUACAAGGUGCUGGAGUCUUGCUUGCUAUAACAAGAUUGGUGGAGAAGGUUUUUCUUCUGUUACGAAAUGGAACUACUACUGAAAGAUACUUUGAAUUAUGUUCAAGAGUUCGAGAUUGCUUUGGUUUCUUGCAUCAUGGUUCAAGGCUUCUUGGUUGGUGGUCGAUUGAUGAGAGCAGUAGAGAAGAGCAGGCUCGUCUUUACCACUCGGGGACUGUCGGGUAUAAUACUUUCUCGUGUUGUUCUCCUGAGGUGGUCAAGAAAAUGCCCAAGAAGGAUCUUGCUGAGGAGGUUUGGAGAUUACAAGCAGCUUUGGGAGAGCAAGCCGAAAUCACGAAAUAUAGCCAGCAGGAGUACGAAAGACUUCAGAAUAAUGUGUUUGUCAAGGAGGUUUUGUCAUGCUGUAAACUGUGGGAGAGGAUUUAGCAUACAUGAGGUUUUGUCAUGCUGUAAAGUGUGGGAGAGGAUUUAGCAUACAUGGGUAUUGCUUGUGGAGUAAAUCUACCAACUUCUCUAGAGAAGACAGAUCAUAUCUGCACUGAUACAAGUUUAUAAUUUUCAUUGGCAUUAAAUAUGAUAUGCACAGGUCUUGGUUGUUAAAAGAAGAGAAUCCGGUGAAUAGAGUAUGCUCUAUAAUCUCUAUGUUUGUGGGUUAGUCUUGAAGUUUCUGUAUUUCAAGGAUGAUUGGGAGGGCUGGGUUUUCUCUAUGGUGUGUUAGCCAUCUACUACAUUUCUAGUUUAUGGAAUUGGAUCCUGCCAAAGCUGGAUUAUGGUGCAUGGGUUUGUUACGUGGAUUUAUUACGCAUCACUAAACUCUAAUGUGAUUCCGUUUCUCGGAAGUACAAAAACAUCUCAUGCGUGCAUCUCUAAUUGUAUUAGUGUCUAAAUGGUGGAUUUUAUGAAUGCAAUGUAGUUUCAUGAGUGUAACUUACUGGUCUUACCCUUUGCGUGGUGCAUCAAUCAGGAGAAGGUUCUUUGCAGGGUUUGCUUCGAGAGAGAAAUUGUUGUCGUUUUGCUCCCAUGUAGACAUCGCAUCCUCUGCAGUACUUGUUCGGAAAAGUGUAAAAAGUGCCCUAUCUGCCGUAUGCCGAUUGAGGAGCGCAUGCCUGUAUAUGAUGUGUAGUCUUGUUUACUGUAAAUUCUUACCAUUUCUUUUGCUUGUGCUCAGCCCAAAGUCUCAACUUUUUUCUAUUGUACAAAAUUCAAUGAUAGUGCCGAAACUAUUGACGACAUCAGUUAAAUGCCUCUUCCUGCUUGAAAGAAUGACGAAGCACGGGAAAUGGCAAAGCAUUUGAGUUUGAUUGUAAAGCAGGGACUGUAAAUACAUAGUUGGGAUUUUGGUGAUUCCUUUUUUGCUGCUUUAGAAGCAUCGAGUUUGUGUACAUGCCUGAAUAUCGACCAUGGUUUGCAGAUUUAGGAUUCGGACUUCUCUUGGCAAACGACUGCCAACAGUUUUGGCUUACUUACUAGAUUUUGUUAGAUAUAUGAACUA